UUGCAAAAUAUGAGAGCUGUGAAUCGUUACGGACCCGGAUUUUCCAGGGCCUCCGAGAGCGCACCGGACGCUGCCUGAGACGCGGCGCUCUACAGGCACCAUAUCCGUAUCUCCGGA